AAUUUAGUAAGCUAAUAAAGCUAAUGAGUUCAUACCUCAUAAAUGAUUGGCAUAAAUUC
rnacentral:tRNA from 1 species